rnacentral:rRNA from 1 species
UACCAGCUCUCCGAGUGGUGUGGAUGUUUAUUGGGCCUAAAGCAUCCGUAGCUGGCUGGGCAAGUCCCCUGUUAAAUCCACCGAUUUAAUCGUCGGUGUGCGGGGGAUACUGUUCGGCUAGGGGACGGGAGAGGCCGACGGUAUUUUCGGGGUAGGGGUGAAAUCCUAUAAUCCCGGGAAGACCACCAGUGGCGAAGGCUGUCGGCUAGAACGCGCCCGACGGUGAGGGAUGAAAGCUGGGGGAGCGAACCGGAUUAGAUACCCGGGUAGUCCCAGCUGUAAACGAUGCAGGCUAGGUGUUUGGGCGGCCACGUGCCGCUCUAGCGCCGCAGGGAAGUCGUUAAGCCUGCCGCCUGGGGAGUACGGCCGCAAGGCUGAAACUUAAAGGAAUUGGCGGGGAGCACCACAAGGGGUGAAGCUUGCGGUUU